ACGGUCUGGGGAAAGGCUCCUGUGUGGUCGAACCCGCCCCGGGGUGGGUGCAACCUCGUACCAGGCAGCCCCACCUUGACCUAGAGUAAAUUCCCAAGGGAAGCCUUCCCUGGGUUUUGAAUUUGCAGUAACAGGUGUGAACAUUCUAGCAGCAGUUUGAUGAUCAUGUAUGAUACUGCAAACAGGA
ensembl:scaRNA